rnacentral:rRNA from 1 species
AGGGAGUUCCCAUCGGGCGCUGCCUCGACGACGCAACGCCGCGUGGGGGAUGAAGGCUUCGGAUUGUAAACCCCUUGUCGGCCGGGACGAAGGGUCGGGCCUAUUAACCCGGGGGCGGCACGGUCCCUUCCAGGAGACCCCGGGAUCACUCUGUCCCGGCAACAUAGGAAUAUAA